CAAAGGAAUUGACGGGACCCGCACAAGCGGUGGAUGAUGUGGUUUAAUUCGAUGCAACGCGAAAACCUUACCCACCUUUGACAUGUACGGAACCCUUUAGAGAUAGAGGGGUGCUCGAAAGAGAGCCGUAACACAGGUGCUGCAUGGCUGUCGUCAGCUCGUGUCGUGAGAUGUUGGGUUAAGUCCCGCAACGAGCGCAACCCUUGUCAUUAGUUGCUACAUUCAGUUGGGCACUCUAAUGAGACUGCCGGUGACAAGCCGGAGGAAGGUGGGGAUGACGUCAAGUCCUCAUGGCCCUUAUAGGUGGGGCUACACACGUCAUACAAUGGCUGGUACAAAGGGUUGCCAACCCGCGAGGGGGAGCCAAUCCCAUAAAGCCAGUCGUAGUCCGGAUCGUAGUCUGCAACUCGACUACGUGAAGUCGGAAUCGCUAGUAAUCGUGGAUCAGAAUGUCACGGUGAAUACGUUCCCGGGUCUU
rnacentral:rRNA from 1 species